UCUGCGGAGACGAGGGUGGUCACCGGUCCCAGACGAGCCCCCAAAUGAAAGACCCUUGGAGUGGGGAGACUCUCACUCAAGUCUCAGGAUGAUGAGACCCCCACACGAGAACUCAUGUAAGA
rnacentral:pre_miRNA from 14 species